GGUUGAUAUUCUGUUACAGUACCGCCGCUCCUUAUACGCAGAGUACGCAGUUUGCGUAGGGCACCAUAUCCCAGGGGGGCACCAACCCAGUUGCUCAAAAAAAAAAA